rnacentral:sRNA from 1 species
AACCUGCUGUUGUCUCCUUCAAUACUGUAGAAGCUUUGUUCUUUCGCUCUUUGCGAUAAAUCUUGCUACUGCUCAGGUCCACGCUGCUUUUAUGAGCUGUAACACUCACUGCGAAAAUCUGCAGCUUCACUCCUGAGCCCAGCGAAACCACGAGCUCACCGGGAGGAACAAACAACUCCAGACGCGCUGCCUUAAGAGCUGUAACACUCACUGUGAAGGUCUGCACCUUCACUCUUGAGCCAGCGAGACCACGAACCCACCAGAAGGAGGAAACUCCGAACACAUCUGAACAUCAGAAGGAACAAAUGCCAGACGCGCCACCUUCAGAGCUGUAACACUCACCGCAAGGGUCCGCGGCUUCAUUCUUGAAGUCAGUGAUACCAAGAACCCACCAACUCCGGACACACUGGGAUUACAGGUGAGCGAGUGCUGUGCUUUCAUGGGCCUCUUCUUUAUGAAGCAAAGUGUGUAAAGGUUGCCAUAAAGGACAAACAAGUGAAAUACUUCAUACAUUACAGUGGUUGGAAUAAAAAUUGGGAUGAGUGGGUUCCGGA